GUCAGUUAGGAUGUGGAUUUUCUUGCUCUCUCAAAGGUUCUUUUAUUUAAAUAUGUUCAUACAUUUUUCUCCUACCGCUCUCUUUCCUGAAAGAAUGAAGUUAGAGGAUUAGGUUGCUAAGUUUAGCUCUUGCUGACGCACUGGCCUCUCACUAGCAGUCUCCUCGUGUCUCAGUGUUUCUUUAAGCCUCGCUUUUUUGCUGGUAGACGCACACCAUCACAUCCUACAUAAUAUUUAGCUCUGAGGCGUUUCCAGAUGGGAAGUGCGUUUCUGUAUUUUCAUAGCCGUGUUCUCUACGUGAAUGGACUGGCGUGAAGCUGGGGGCUGACGGCUGGCAGGGCAGAACAACUUCCAGUAAAAGAAGGCACUGAGGUUUAAGUGCUACGUGGGAGCAGUUGCCGAUUUUUGCAAUGGGAGGCUGCAUAGAUUCAAGGACUUCCUUGAGUGCUCCAGGAGCUUGUCAUUCCAGAGACAGAGCAGCCCAGAAGUCCUGGGAUUUACACCUCUAGUAGAAACCCUCAACCAGAGAAGGAUGGAAGUCAAUGGGCAGAGUGCUCGGGAGACCUUUACCUGUUUUACCUGAUUACAUCCUCUGAGUCACAACGAGAAAGGAAGCCGAGCAACAGCCAGACCUGAUCUUCUUUAAUUGUGCUCUGUGGACCAAAGGCAACAGAAUUACCUAGGCCCCACCCAGAAAAUGCAGAAUCCUGGGUCCCUUAUGAAGCCACCGAAUCAAAAUUGUGGGGAGCAACCAGGAACCUGAUUUUUAAACAAGUUCCCCUGUGAUUCUUAUGCACAUUAAAAUUUGAAAACCCCUGGACAAAGCCACAGUUCCUGGAGGAGCAGAGAUGAGUCAUGUCCAUGAGUAAUACCCCAUGUUGACACAGCCCUGGUGCAAGGUAGGCACGCCCCUCACACCUGUUCUCAUCACCAACAUUCCUUGGACAAGGUCAGGAGACGGUCUUGAGCAAUUUGGUAUAAAACAAAUCUCUGUAAGUCACAUUUUAAAUAUAAUAUUUAGAGGGAUUGCAUUGGCAAAUCAAAUUGUUUUCAUUAUUGUAAAUUGUACUGUGCUCAGAUACUUACCCAAUCUUGACUUCAAAUUUAGCUCAACAUGACCUCUGGCCUUAGGCUUGAGGAUUGUAAGGCCCCCUGGCCCAGCACGCUUGCUGUGCUUGGGGCUCUGUUGUUAGCACUCUGUUUAUUUUGUUCUUGGGCACCGUCCACUACCUGGUCAGAAAAACCUUAGCCCCACUGUUCCCCAGUGCCUGUGUUCAUGUCUUGCCCCAAAGACCCAAUCCCAGAGGCUAUGGGUCCUCAAGGUUGAGAUUCUACCUAUGGCCCAAGCUAAGGUCCUGCCAUCUCUUAGCAGAAUUUCCAAAUCCUGGCCUACUUUCUAGGGUCUUCCAAUAUCAUCUGGUGCUGAAUUCCUAUCACCAAGCUCCAUGUGCCUCUCAGGACACCUCUCAUAAUCCCCCCAAACCAUAUACAGCCUAUCAGUGAGGAGCACAGGCUCGCUGGACAGCCUAGGUAUGAAGCUUGGCUCUGCCACUUGGUGGCUGUGUGACCUUAGCCAAACACCCCACCCAACAAGCCUCAAUUCCUGCAUCUAUAACAGCCCCUACUAUUAUAUGCAGCGUUGUCAUGAGUAUUGAGUGAGGUGAUACACUUACAGCCAAGCACAGUGCUUGGGCACAGCAAGGGCUCAAUAAAUGUUGGGGACCGGUCCAAAAGCUGUUCCAUGUCUGAGUGCGCGUACAUGUGAACAAAGCUCCAUGCCAAAGCAAAUGUGUCUCCAAGCUACCCUAGCAGUGGCACCAGGGGUCACUUAUAGAGUGUCACUUUGGGCUUUGGAACAAAUGGACUUGUAAGCAGCCUUUUCUCCUCUAUUUUUUUUUUUUUUUUUGAGACAGAGUUUCACUUUUGUCACCCAGGCUGGAGCGCAAUGGCGCGAUCUCGGCUCGCUGCAAACUCUGCCUCCCAGGUUCAAGUGAUUCUCCUGCCUCAGCCUCCCAAGUAGAUGGGAUUACUGGUGUGUGCCAUUAUGCCAGGUAAUUUUGUAUUUUUAGUAGACAUGGGGUUUCACCGUGUUGGCCAGGCUGGUCUUGAACUCCUGACCUCAGGUGAUCCACCCGCCUUGGCCUCCCAAAGUGCUGGGAUUACAGGCAUGAGCCAUCGCACCUGGCCAAAGCAGCCUUUUUAGAAUUCACCUUUGAAUAAUAAUAAUAAUAAUAGCAAAUACAUGGUACUCACUAUGAGCUAGACCCUGUGCUGAUAAGGGCAUUACUCAUUUGAUUCCUUCCAUAACAAGGCUGGUACUUUAUUACCCCCACUUUACAG
rnacentral:lncRNA from 10 species